AGUUUGCUAUGAUGAAGUACAUGUCAAGUCCGUGUUUCAGCUGAUCACACUGAUUAAACACAUGUGCUGAGCAGACU
ensembl:snoRNA small nucleolar RNA SNORD126